GGGGUAGGCAGUGUGUCCAAGACUCUUCCACCGAAAAUAAACCUGCAAGAGAAGAGAGGGAGGAGGAGGAGGAAGAAGAAGAGAGAGAGGGAGGGAGGAGGAAGGGAGAGAGAGAGAGCCUUUCAACGGGGGACGGAGGGGGAAAAGACUCCGUUUUCAACGGAAUAAAAACUGCGCAAUUUCUUACGGCAACUCGCUCUGAUCGAUCCCGUUUGAUAUCCAUGUUAGUCUGGCGGACGGCUUGGAUUAUCGCAGCAUACGCAGGUUGGACCGAGGCGGUAGCUCUUUAUUUUCUACAGAUGUGUGGUCUUCAGGCAGCAAAAAAAAAGGCUGUGCAAUCAUUUAGGAAGGCGAUAUGACUUGGCAAGAUGCAACCUGCAACUGUGAUCGUCAUACCUGGGCAUGGACAUGGAAAUAACCUCAACGUGUCGGCGGUUUGUCCGGUUGAUCGAUCAGGCGUUGCUCGACGCAUUGAUCCCGAUCGCACCCGAUAUGUUUGAAUGAUGUUCCCAGACCCAGUGCCUCGUUUUUUUGGAGGGUUUUGGGGCUGCGUGGCUGAGCGGGCGUCAUCCAUUGGGAGGGAAGGUGGUCUGCGUUGCACAUUUUCACUAGUGCACUAUUUUAUUUACUACAACUAAGCCUCCCGAAGGAUUUCUGAGAUGCAUAUAAGGGAGGAGAAGAGGACUAGAAUGUGUGUGCACGAGCCAGCCAGGUUCUCGACUCCCCCGGCACCGGAUUGAAGCUGUGCACAACCUCUCGCCUAGGACUGAGGCUCGACAUGGCCAGUUCGCCAGGAUGGUACAUAACAGGUACAGACACCUCAGAGCUGGAAGGAUCUGGGUUUGAUCCCCAAUAUCCAUCCUACUUCAUGCAGUCUGUGGGCAUCCUUAAUAACAUUUUGCUAACAAAAAGCAACUCUAACAAAAAACACAACUAUUAGUUGCUUUGAAUGAGCGCAUCUGCUAAAUGACACCUGAGGGUGAUAACAGAUAAUAGGGUGUAUUUAUAUAGCACUUUACUACACGUCAUUCUAUACAUGAUAUGCAAGCGUCUACAACCAAUGCAUUUGUAGCUACAAUAAACUCAUAUAUUAUUCAUUUGUUCCUCUUAUACUUUGAGGUAUUUAUUGUUUCCUCAUUUUGUUUAUGUGCAGAGUGUCAAGGUACUUACUUUGCCCCCUCCACUCCCUGCGAAGGUAUGCACCAGUAUUACCUGCCCAGCCCACCAUGUGAUUUACUGAAGAGAAAACCACUGAUAGAUCAAACUCCACUGAUAGACCUCACACACACUGAAAGACACACACACACUCUCUCUCUCUCUCUCUCUCUCUCUCACUCACACUCACACUCACACUCACACACACACACAUAACCACCCUGGCUAUGAGGAGAUGGAGAGAACAAGAGAGAAAGGAGGAGAAAAAUAAUACAGAAGUGCGAGGAGGUGGGGGAGCAGGAGGAGGUUGAAUGGGACGAAGAGGGA
ensembl:lncRNA